CUCAACUUUGGGAGUUUGAAUUCGGUGUUUCUGAUGCUGCUUUCCUCACCCAUAUCCCCUUCUUCAUCCGAUCUUGCUCCACCUAUUAUCUCCUCCAUUUUCUCACAUCCUUUAACAACAAUCUCUUCUAGGUUUACAAGGCGAAUCCAAGAAGAUGGAACCAAGAUUUCUGUGAUACUGCAAUUCCUUACGUCAAUUACUUGGAGAGAAUCGCAAAUCAGUUUUGCACUACAAAUGCUUUUUAGUUCUGGUAAAUUUUUCAAGCGCAAUUGUCUCAACUUUGGGAGUUUGAAUUCGCUGUUUCUGAUGCUGCUUUCCUCACCCAUAUCCCCUUCUUCAUCCGAUCUUGCUCCACCUAUUAUCUCCUCCAUUUUCUCACAUCCUUCAACAACAAUCUCUUCUAGGUUUACAACGCGAAUCCGAGAAGAUGGAACCAAGAUUUCCAUGAUACUGCAAUUCCUUACUUCAAUUACUCGGAGAGAAUCGCAAAUAAGUUUUGCACUACAAAUGCUUUUUAGUUCUGGUAAAUUUUCCAAGUGCAGUUCUCUCAACUUUGGGAGUUUGAUUUCGGUGUUUCUGAUGCUGCUUUCGUCGCCCAUAUCCCCUUCUUCAUCCGAUCUUGCUCCACCUAUUAUCUCCUCCAUUUUCUCACAUCCUUCAACAACAAUCUCUUCUAGGUUUACAAGGCGAAUCCAAGAACAUGGAACCAAGAUUUCUCUGAUACUGCAAUUCCUUACUCGAAUUUCUUGAAGAGAAUCGCAAAUCAGUUUUGCACUACAAAUGCUUUUUAGUUCUGGUAAAUUUUCCAAGCGCAGUUCUCUCAACUUUGGGAGUUUGAAUUCGGUGUUUCUGAUGCUGCUUUCCUCACCCAUAUCCCCUUCUUUAUCCGAUCUUGCUCCACCUAUUAUCUCCUCCAUUUUCUCACAUCUUUCAACAACAAUCUCUUCUAGGUUUACAAGGCGAAUCCAAGAAGAUGGAACCAAGAUUUCUCUGAUACUGCAAUUCCUUACGUCAAUUACUUGGAGAGAAUCGCAAAUCAAUUUUGCACUACAAAUGCUUUUUAGUUCUGGUAAAUUAUCCAAGCGCAGUUCUCUCAACUUUGGGAGUUUGAAUUCGGUGUUUCUGAUGCUGCUUUCCUCACCCAUAUCCCCUUCUUCAUCCGAUCUUGCUCCACCUAUUAUCUCCUCCAUUUUCUCACAUCCUUCAACAACAAUCUUUUCUAGGUUUACAAGGCGAAUCCAAGAAGAUGGAACCAAGAUUUCUGUGAUACUGCAAUUCCUUACGUCAAUUACUUGGAGAGAAUCGCAAAUCAGUUUUGCACUACAAAUGCUUUUUAGUUCUGGUAAAUUUUCCAAG
rnacentral:lncRNA from 1 species